rnacentral:rRNA from 1 species
AGAUUGAACGCUGGCGGCAGGCCUAACACAUGCAAGUCGAGCGGUAGAGAGGUGCUUGCACCUCUUGAGAGCGGCGGACGGGUGAGUAAUGCCUAGGAAUCUGCCUAGUGGUGGGGGAUAACGUUCGGAAACGGACGCUAAUACCGCAUACGUCCUACGGGAGAAAGCGGGGACCUUCGGGCCUCGCGCCAUUAGAUGAGCCUAGGUCGGAUUAGCUAGUUGGUGAGGUAAUGGCUCACCGAAGGCGACGAUCCGUAACUGGUCUGAGAGGAUGAUCAGUCACACUGGAACUGAGACACGGUCCAGACCUCCGUACGGGAGCAGCGAGGUAGGGAAUAGUGACAAGUGGGACGAAAGCC